rnacentral:rRNA from 1 species
UUUAGCCUACGGGAGGCAGCAGUGAGGAAUAUUGGUCAAUGGGCGGGAGCCUGAACCAGCCACGUCGCGUGAGGGACGACGGUCCUAUGGAUUGUAAACCUCUUUUGUCGGGGAACAAAGGCGCCCACGGGUGGGCGGAUGAGUGUACCCGAAGAAAGAGCAUCGGCUAACUCCGUGCCAGCAGCCGCGGUAAUACGGAGGAUGCGGGCGUUAUCCGGCUUUAUUGGGUUUAAAGGGUGCGUAGGCGGACAGUCAAGUCAGCGGUAAAAAUGCGGUGCUCAACGCCGUACAGCCGUUGAA